AGUGGCUCAUUCACCCAUUUAUGUCAGCCCCUUCGGGACGCGCUACAUAAAAUUCGAAUGACGCACAACAAGGUGCCUGCCGUCCAACUUCUGAUAUCAGCUUAGCUAUAUCAACCCUCGGGCGAAACGUCGAGUUAGGCACCGCCU
rnacentral:sRNA from 1 species